GCUGGAGACUUUCUUGCUGGACAUCCCUCCUUAGUGGAGGUCUUCCAAAGGCAUGCCCAUCUACCUGCCCGGCUGCUCUCAGUUCCUUUGUCUCACAACUGGGCCUUGCUGCACCAAUGCCACAUUGAACUGCCAUCACCCACCACAGGUAUAGAUGGAUGUUUUGGGAUGCAGAGCCUGGCAAAGAGGACGCCAUCAUCCUGUGGAUUCAGAGCAUAUGCGUGGCCUCGUCAUUUCUGCUGUGCUUCUCCAUCAGCCAGAAGAUUUUACCAGUGUUAAAAGCUGUUUGUGAGUCUUUGGAUAUCUCUUCCUUGCCCUCUGGGGGCUGUUCCCUUUUUGAAGCACAGGCAGAGACCUGUUUUGGAAGACAUGCACGUCCACAUAUCUUUGUAUAUUCAAGGCCACGUUUGUUUGUGUCGAUUUGCUGCCAUGGUCACAUGCUUAUUUCUUCAUUUCCAACUGCAUUUAAUGCACUUCUAUAAGAAUGAAUAUCUGGACCAUGAACCCUCCUUUAUCAAAGCAUAUAUUUGUAGGCUCUGAUAUCUCUGAGUACACAGAUACCUGAUUAUGUAACAUGUUUGCAUUUAGGCUAUUUGUGUAGCUGUUGAGCAGCAAGAGGUACUGAAGCACCUUAACAGAGUGUCAAAUUUGCUGAAGUCUGAGAACCAUUUACGGCUUCAGAUAGCUACGCUUUGCUUCUCACUUGUGCACAGAGCAGAUAAAUAAGUUAUUGUGGUGUUCUCCAUCACCAGUCAAACAGAAAUUAUUCUGCCAUUACACAGUUUUAGCAAUAAGAUAUACGCAUCAUUACUGGCUUACUAACACAAAUGAGAAGGAUAAAUGUGAACAACUAUGAGUCUGAUUCUCUCUCCUCUGCUUAUCCUCUAGUCUGUGCACUUAGCCUUAAGAAAAAUGGAUAUAAAAUUGUUCGUGCCCACUUCGCAUAAGAUACACAAUGGUGUGUGUGUAGCAGGGAAAAUGUAUGGAAGUAUGUCUGUCUUCACCCAUGUGAUUGACACAAAACAAAUACUGCCUUUGAAAAGCUUCAGUCACUUUUUUUUUUUUUUGGCUUAAAAACAUUCCUUAAAUGCUAAAAGAGCUUGAAAUUUAUAAAAAGCUUUUGCUCUCUUCAGCAAGGAAAAGAUUUCUCUUAACUUUUGAUUAUGUUUGACCAUGGAGAAUCAACAAUGCAGGAAGAUUUUCAACAAAGGUAUUUUCUCUCAUGCCAUGCUCCUCACGGACUUUCCCUAUUCCUACUCACUCAACCUCAAAGGAAUAAUUAGUUGCUAAAAAAUGUGUUUCAUUUUGGCUGGGAGAAGACAGAGCAUGUUUUUAAUUAAGGAAGUGCUAUUAAAAUAAACUUUUCUAGGAAAAAUGUGCACAGGGUAAUAUAUAACAUAAUUAGAAAAAUACAUUUUUUUAAAAAAAUGUUUUACUGAAAAGUUGUCGGCCAACUCCAGUAUCAUCUGUAUCUUUCCUUGCAAGUGUUCUCUUUUUGUUCUCAUUUUCCUUUCGGGUAUACUCCUUUUUUGGCUCCUUCUUUUCCUCAAAGAAAGCAGUGCCUGAGCUCUUGUUCUAUUUUAAUUGUCUCCAAGUCUGCAUUCAGAGCAAGCACAGAUAUUUUUCUUGUGAUCAAUACGUGUCUGCCCGCAUGGAGUCUUGCCUCGAACGCUUUGCUGGUCACACCGUUUUUAUGCUUCAUCAUUCUAUUGCUACUCUCUCAUUCUACUGCAUCUUUUCCUACUGCACUGAACUUCCAAGGUUUUGCUGAGAUGGGAGACCUGUCUCACGUGUUUAUCAGCACCAGGUUUUUAGCCUGGCUUCUCUGUGCUGAUCUGCACUGUACUUUGUACUGAUGGCUUUCUUCCUGGCUUCAGCUUCAUGCCAAUUUGUUUUCUGAAUUGUUCAUCAAUAACAAGAGGCUGACAUUUAUAGAAAUGUUACAAUUCAUGCAAAUCUUGUGUUAGCACAAGAUUUGCUUGUGUUAGGGAAACCUUCAAAGCAUUCAGCAACCCUUGUGUUUCCUCCUGCAAAGCGCACUUGAACUGUAACUCUUUUAUCUUAUACUGUCUUGUUAACUUCAAAAUAUUUCUUCAGCCUCUGCAUCUGUGUUGGCCAGGUCUCUCCAUAAAACCCUAUCAAAUGGCAUUGGUUUUUCCAGUAUCUUCUGACAGCCUGUCAGCAUAGCUGACCAAGUCAUAUUAUUCUGACUACGCAGUAAAUGCCGCUCAAGUAGAAAUGUCAGGCAGGCGGCAGGUCAUGUUUGACAAAACCAAAACAGGGAUGUUAGGGUUUCCUUCCACAAAAGAAGAAUGCCCUAGGUCCUUUUUACUGCAUGCAGUAUACUUGGGAGGCUUUGGUUUCUGAAGCAGCCACAUGCUGAUUGUGUAACUAAUACCAGGCUUUAUUUGUUUAUUAACAAUAGCCAUCAAGGAAUAAUAUUACCACUUCAGAGAAAGCAGUACAAAUAUGAAUAUUAGUUUUCAGCUAUUUGGACCUGUGAUAACUUGAAAUUAAUGAGCUCUUCGCUGUUAACACAUUUUGAAGACUGUCUACAAAUUCCUUAUUCUUUUGUACUCCUUCAUGCGGAGCUUCGUUUCAUUAUUGUCUUCCAUUGUCUUCUGCUGUACUACACAACUAUAUUGUUAUUUUAUUUUCUUCCAUUAAAAGCUGAAGAAACACACAGAAAAAAACUGUUUCUAAGAAGUUCUAGCCCACUCACAACUCAGCUGUAAAUAUACAGAGUAUGUUUACUUCAAAAGUAAGCAAGGAUUUCAGUCUCAAGUCAGGGAGGAGAUACGGUGAAGACUACAUCUAAAACAGGGAAACAGCUUCUGGAGCAAGGACUGGCACCAUGCCUACAUCAGGACAAUAUCCAUCAAUAAUGGAGCUGGCAACAACCUGGGUUAUCAUCUCUCACAAAUGCUCUCUGGACACCCAUUUGCAGGAGAUGUUGAUGCCGUGGCACAGUGCCCUACUGAAGGCAAUGGGGCUUCACAUUGGUGCUGAGGGAGAGAUUUGGGCACCUGGCUGCUUAUCGAAUGUGGGUAAAUACAUGUGAACACAAGAAACAAAGUUAUACUGAUGGGAAUUUUGCUGUUGGUUUGAACAUAAACUAUGAAAGAAGCAUUAAAAUAGAUGAAAUUGCACAUUUAAAGAAGUUAAUGCACUGACUGAGUAGGGCAAUAGGAAGCAUAUAGAACUGGCAUAUGUUCACAUUUUGUUUUUGUUUUAUAGCUAGGCAGAAGCAAGUCAUCUAUCAUUUGUUCUAAAGUGUGGUUAAAAGUGACUGUGAAAAUG
ensembl:lncRNA